UUCCUGUCUCCAGCUUGCCGAGAGCAGAUCUUGAGACUUCUCAGCCUCCAUAAUCGUGCAGCCACCAUGUUGUGAUGAUCCUCAAACAGCCCUGUGGAGAGGCCAAUGCAUGAAGAGGCCAUGUGGAAAGGAACAAACUUGCCAGCCGGAUGAGUGAGCCACCUUGAAAGCAGAUUCUCCUGCCUCAGUCAAAACUUCAGAUGAUUCCUGGCCCCAAUCUCAAAGUCUUUCAGCUGAGACCUCAGAUAACGUGAAGAAACGAACCAUCUCUGCUGUGCCCUAUUUGAAUAUCUGACCCACAGAAACCAUGAAAUAAUAAAUUGUUCUUUCAAACGAC
rnacentral:lncRNA from 1 species